rnacentral:lncRNA from 1 species
AUUCCCCGGAACAACCGCAACCCACAGUGCUGGGCGAUUUCUGGUCUAGUCUAAGGAGGUUUACACCUCAGCUAGAAGAUUCUAUCCCCAACGCCUGUGCUUGCCUGACGGGUGAGUGCGCCCUGACCUAUCCUUUGCUGGUGAACCUGUGAACCGAUGUCCGGGAGCCCAGAGCUAGGGGAACUGAGUGAACUCGAGUCUGAGUGUAGGUAUGGAUGUCCCUGAACAUGCCGGAGACCCUUAUGGCCUUAUUUAUCCUGAGGGUCCAGAGAGAGAUGACAGUUCUCAGGACCUCAGCCACCCGUCACUCGGUCCUUCCCCCUACUUCGCUCCAUGGUUGUGGUGAGAGGAUUUCAGUUCUUGGCCAACGACGCUUCCUUCAGUGUAAGGCAUCUUAAAGCUGGAAAGUCACCUGGGGAACUGCACCAGAGAAAGCCCUGCGUCUGUAGACUCAGCACCAGUUGCUCAGAUGGUGAAAGAACAGAGAACUUUUAGCAGCUUCAGAUGUGUUUCCAGCAACUGCAAUGACUUCUCUCCAAAGGAAAGGACCGCAAACAAGGAUUCUUAGCACUGGAGAAGAGGAGAAGCUGAAAAGAGACCAAGCUUUGGUGUCUGCUUUUAAACAGCAAAAACUGGAAAAAGAGGCUCAGAAAAACUGGGACCUUUUUUACAAAAGAAACAGUACCAAUUUUUUCAAGGACAGACACUGGACUACCAGAGAGUUUGAGGAGCUAAGAUCAUGUCGGGAGUAUGAAGGUCAAAAAUUGACUUUGUUGGAAGCCGGAUGUGGGGUUGGGAACUGUUUAUUCCCACUUUUAGAAGAAGACUCGAAUAUCUUUGCCUAUGCCUGUGAUUUUUCUCCCAGGGCAGUUGACUACGUGAAG